ACAGCAGCAGCCGCGGGAAUACGAAGGGGGCUAGCGUUGUUCGGAAUUACUGGGCGUAAAGCGCACGUAGGCGGAUAUUUAAGUCAGGGGUGAAAUCCCAGAGCUCAACUCUGGAACUGCCUUUGAUACUGGGUAUCCUGAGUAUGGAAGAGGUGAGUGGAAUUCCGAGUGUAGAGGUGAAAUUCGUAGAUAUUCGGAGGAACACCAGUGGCGAAGGCGGCUCACUGGUCCAUUACUGACGCUGAGGUGCGAAAGCGUGGGGAGCAAACAGGAUUAGAUACCCCAGUAGUCCCUGUCUCUUAUAC
rnacentral:rRNA from 1 species